AGAAUCAACGCUGGCGGCGUGCCUCAGACAUGCAAGUCGAACGCGAAAUCCCGAGCAAUCGGGAAAGUAGAGUGGCGCACGGGUGAGUAACACGUAGGUAAUCUACCUUUGGAUGGGGAAUAACAACCGGAAACGGUUGCUAAUACCGCAUAAUGCAGCGGCACCUAAUGGUGACAGUUGUUAAAGCGGGGGAUCGAAAGACCUCGCGUCUAAAGAGGAGCCUGCGGCGGAUUAGCUAGUUGGUAAGGUAAUGGCUUACCAAGGCUACGAUCC
rnacentral:rRNA from 1 species